AUUGAACGCUGGCGGCAGGCCUAACACAUGCAAGUCGAGCGGCAGCGGAAGGAAGCUUGCUUUCUUGCCGGCGAGCGGCGGACGGGUGAGUAAGGUAUGGGGAUCUGGCCGAAGGCGGGGGAUAACCACUGGAAACGGUGGCUAAUACCGCAUAAUCUCUAAGGAGCAAAGUGGGGGACCGUUCAGGCCUCACACCUUCGGAUGAACCCAUAUGAGAUUAGCUAGUAGGUGGGGUAAUGGCUCACCUAGGCGACGAUCGCUAGCUGGUCUGAGAGGAUGAUGAGCCACACUGGGACGAACACGCGGCGCAGACUCAUACGGGAGGCAGCAGUGGGGAAUAGUGCACAAUGGGCGGAAGCCUGAUGCAGCCAUGCCGCGUGUAUGAAGAAGGCCUUCGGGUUGUAAAGUACUUUCAGUCGUGGGGAAGGUGUUAAGGUUAAUAACCUUAGCAAUUGACGUUAGCGACAGAAGAAGCACCGGCUAACUCCGUGCCAGCCGCCGCCGUAA
rnacentral:rRNA from 1 species